CCACUAGGUGCUGCUGCCGCGGCCGCCAGGGAGGGAGGUGUCGGAGGGCGGGCCCCGCGCGGUGCUAGGGUUCCGUCUGGACUGGCGGUGGUGGGUCCCAACCGGCGGUACCGGGUUCCUUCCCGACCAGCGGUGCUAGGUUCGGUUCGGACGCGCGCUGCUGGAUCUAAAUGGGCAGUGCUGGGUCCGAUGGGUGGUGCUGUGUUGGGUCCGGACGCGCGGUGCAGAGUCCGGACGGGCGGUGCUGGAUCCAAAUGGGCGGUGCUGGAUCUGGACGGGCGGUGAUGGGUCCGAUGGGCGGUGCUAUGUUCGGUUCGGACGGGCGGUGCUAGGUCUAAAUGGGCGCUGCUGGGUCCGAUGGGCGGUGCUGCGUUCGGUCCGGACGGGCGGGGACGGGCGGUGCUGGGUCCAAAUGGGUGGUGAUGGAUCUGUGGACGGGCGGUGCUGGUUCCAGACGGGCGGUGCUGGGUCCAGACGGGCGGUGGGUCCGAUGGGCGGUGCUAGGUUCGGUUCGGAUGGGUGGUGCUAGGUCUAAAUGGGCGGCGCCGGAUCCGAUGGGCGGUGCUGGGUUCGGUCCGGACUGGCGGGUCCGGGUCUGGACGGGCGGUGCUGGAUCCAAAUGGGGGUGCAGUGCUGGAUCUGGACGGGCGGUGCUGGGUCCGAACGGGCGAUGGGUCCCAUGGGCGGUGCUAGGUUCGGUUCGGACUGGCGGUGCUGGGUCUAAAUGGGCGGCGCUGGGUCCGAUGGGUGGUACUGGGUCCGGACGGGCGGUUCUGGGUCUGGACGGGCGGUGCAGUAUCCAAAUGGGCGCUGCUGGGUCCGGACGGGCGGUGCUAGGUUCGGUCCGGACGGGUGGUGCUGGGUCUAAAUGGGCGGUGCUAGGCUCAGCAGGGGACCGGUGGGCGUGGCGGCACAGGUACGGAGCGCAGGGCCGGUGGAGCGCCCUCUCCGAAGGGCCCUGCGCUCCCCGCGCUCGCUGCUCCUCCUGCCCGCGCAUUGCCCCGGGGCUGCUGCGUGUUUCUUCCAGGGUGAUUCCUUUCCGCUGGGUCACUUCAAAGCCGACCUUUUCAAGCUGUUUUCUUCCGCGGAGGACACGUUGUUAGGCUUUGUGUGCAUUUCAAGGGUCAUGUUUUCUGAACCGCGCUCUGCCGCUCUUGGGGUGUUCGAGCCCCCACACUGCUGUGCGGUGUUCCUCUCACAGAGUGAGGUUGGAGGGUCCCACUCCCUUUGUGUGUCUCCUUAGAAAACGCCUCUUCUCUCAGACACAUCGUUAUCUGCCAAUUCUUCGCAGACGUAGAGAACGGACUGCAGAGUUAAUAAACGUCGAGGGGAAGCUUUGAUGCGCCCCAUUUGGCCCUGAGAGAUGCCACGUGAUCGUCAUUUUAAAUCCUUUCCUGGGCUUCCCGAUGGACUCGAGUUUUUACUAUGUGAGCAUCCCGGUGCCUGCACAGCAAGGACUCUCAUUGGGUUCCACACGUGCUGCGCAGAUCCCUGACGCAGCGUUCACUGAACCUCAACUGCAGGAGCUUCAUUCCUGAGGACGCUGUUACCAAGAAUGACUUGCCUCUUGAAGAAUGAGUUUGCAAAGCCGGCAGUUAGAUUGCUGAUGUCCAAAGUAAGUAUGUGUAGCAUCACUAAAGAGAAAAUUCAGGAUUCCUGGAAAACAGUUAUGGGCUCUCUGCAGUGUUAUUUUUGUAAUAAAAAACAUAUAGCAUAUGUGAAAUACCUACUGGGUGAUGCAGGACACAUAGAAGGCUCGAAAUUAAUGUGAAUCAUUCUCGUUUUUCUGACUGUCAUUAAAAGUCCCCAUUUGUAUUAUGUAUGAGUGGUAUAUCAAUAUCUAAACUACACUUUAUUGUAGGUCCCAACCAACAUUAGUUUAUUGACAAAUGUUUAAGAGCAGCCAAAAAUUCAUAGAAUACCUAUGAUUCUUAAAUCAUGAACACUCCCAUAACUGGUAUAUGUUUAGGACAUGAAAAUUUCCAGGCUGACAAAUAAUUUCGCUGUCAUCGGUCAAGACUCCAGGAUGAUAUUCUGAGCCAUAUGUUAAUUUUGAUAACCACCUAGAACAAUAAAAGGUAAACAUGCUACCAUCUUCUAUUCUCAUUGCACCACUGGAUUCUGGUACAUCUAAAAAUUGUACUUAAAUGAUAUCCAAGAAAUGCUGUAAAAAACAAAAUAGGGCCGGGCGCAGUGGCUCACACCUGUAAUCCCAGCAUUUUGGGAGGCCAAGGCGGGCAGAUCACGAGGUCAGGAGAUCAAGACCAUCCUGGCUAACACGGUGAAACCCCGUCUCUACUAAAAAUACAAAAAAAAAAAAAAUUAGCCGGGCAUGGUUGUGGGUGCCUGUAGUUCCAGCUACUCAGGAGGCUGAGGCAGGAGAAUGACGUGAACCCGGGAGGCGGAGGUUGCAGUGAGCUGAGACCGCGCCACUGCACUCCAGCCUGGGCGACAGAGCAAGACUCUGUCUCAAAAUAAAUAAAUAAAUAAAAGAAUGGGCUUUUCUGUUAUUAAUUCCAUUUUAUACAUGGUGAGACUGAAAUGCAAGAUAAAGGACUGGACUGAAGCUAAACAAACCUGCACUGGGCGAGGUUGAAAAAGACCUUUUUAAUCUAUAAGUCGGUUUUUGAAAAUUCAAGUUUCUACUUUAUAAUUUUAGUUUUCCUUUUAAACGUAUAUUAUUGUUAGUUGCACUGUUCAAAAAGUUUUACAGCUUCUAUUUCAAUCAGCACUGGUAUACUAAUAUUUUUAAGUAUCUCCUAUCUAAAACCAAAAUCUACGUAAAACCUAAAAGUACCAGGUAAUAGAGGACAACAGAGCAAGACUGUCUCUUAAAAAAAGAAGUAUCACAUAAUAGGAAUAAAUAUGAGGACAGAAAGUAAUAAUAUUUUUGAAUUUCUGAUUAAACUUUGCACUUACUUUAAAAUUUUUUUCGAAAUAUUAUGAAAACCAGGUUCUGAGACCAGCCACAUGAAAUAAACCUUUUCCUGCCCCAAUUUUCACAGCCUCUAGAAAAUAGUAGGUACCAGGGAAAAGAUUAAUACAUCUAAAAAAAAAAAGAUACAAAUAUAUCAACUAUGUUUAACUAUAUCAACUAUAUUUAGUACCCUAGGUCAUUUAAUUUUCUAGCCACCAAUAAAUUCCAUAUUUUAUUAAAUUAAUCAAAUUUUGAAAAGUGUCAAUAUUACUGUAUAAAUCAUCUUACAAGUCCUUUUAGUAGAUAUAUCAAUUUAGAGGAUGGUCUUUAGCAAAAAAAGUAAAGGAAAAGGAUUUAAUAAAGGUCCAAUAGCAGACCUUCUAGGGCAGGCAGCCUUCUAUAGUAGCCCAUGCAUGUGAAAGUUAAUCUAAUUAGUUGAUCUAUAAAGUUAAAUAACCAAACUCUCCUUUGCUUAACCCAUUGCUAGAAAGGCCAGUGUUGUUAAUUUCAUUUUUUAAACAAACAAGCAAAAAAAAUUCUAGAGGAUGAGUUUUUCAUAAGUAGGGUAUGUGCUACUUUAUUGGAAAAUGAAGAAAUAUAUCUUUCAACUCUGCUUCCUUCAUUGCUUUCCCGUGUUCCUAAUAUUUAGUCACAUUUUAGGUUAGAACUUUCAGGAAGUGAGUUUUUACACAGAAAUUAGUGCUAUAAACAGCCCUUAAAAUGGGAAUUUAAUCGUACUUAUUUAAAAUAUAUAUGUAUAUAAUCUUACCAACCCAGAAAGACAUGUUCUCUGGCAUUUUAUAAACUAAGAUGCUACUGGAAGGAAAAAGCUAAAUCUGAAAUACACAAACAACAUAUUUACACUGUGAUAUGGUUUAGAUCUGUAUGCCAAAGCUGAAUCUCAUGUCAGAUUGUAAUCUCCAAUGUUGGAGAUGGGGCCUAGGAGGAGGUGAUUGGAUUGGAUCAUGGGGGCGGAUUUCCUCCUUUGGUGCUAUUCUGGUGAUGGAGUUCUCACUAAAUCUUGUUGUUUAAAAGUGUGUGGUACCUCCCUUCCCCAGCUUCCUCCUGUUCCAGCCAGGUAAGACAUGUCUGCUUCCCCUUUGCCUUCUGCCAUGAUUGUAAGUUUCCUGAGGCCUCCCCAGCCAUGCUUCCUGUACAGCCUGCAGAACCAUGAGCCA
ensembl:lncRNA AFDN-DT AFDN divergent transcript